AACCGAGUCUUAAUUGGGCGUUAAGUUGCAGGGUAUAGACCCGAAACCCGGUGAUCUAGCCAUGGGCAGGUUGAAGGUUGGGUAACACUAACUGGAGGACCGAACCGACUAAUGUUGAAAAAUUAGCGGAUGACCUGUGGCUGGGGGUGAAAGGCCAAUCAAACCGGGAGAUAGCUGGUUCUCCCCGAAAGCUAUUUAGGUAGCGCCUCGUGAAUUCAUCUCCGGGGGUAGAGCACUGUUUCGGCUAGGGGGCCAUCCCGGCUUACCAACCCGAUGCAAACUGCGAAUACCGGAGAAUGUUAUCACGGGAGACACACGGCGGGUGCUAACGUCCGUCGUGAAGAGGGAAACAACCCAGACCGCCAGCUAAGGUCCCAAAGUCAUGGUUAAGUGGGAAACGAUGUGGGAAGGCCCAGACAGCCAGGAUGUUGGCUUAGAAGCAGCCAUCAUUUAAAGAAAGCGUAAUAGCUCACUGGUCGAGUCGGCCUGCGCGGAAGAUGUAACGGGGCUAAACCAUGCACCGAAGCUGCGGCAGCGACACUGUGUGUUGUUGGGUAGGGGAGCGUUCUGUAAGCCUGCGAAGGUGGCCUGUGAGGG
rnacentral:rRNA from 1 species